GACGUAGGGGGCAAGCGUUGUCCGGAAUUAUUGGGCGUAAAGCGCUCGUAGGCGGAUCUGCAAGUCUGUGAAGAAAGACCCGGGCUCAACUCGGGGAACGGCAUAGAUACUGCGGACCUUGAGACAAUCAGAGGAUGAUGGAAUUCCUGGUGUAGCGGUGAAAUGCGUAGAUAUCAGGAGGAACACCUGUGGCGAAAGCGGCUCACUGGACCAUAACUGACGCUGAUGCACGAAAGCUAGGGGAGCAAACAGG
rnacentral:rRNA from 1 species